GAUGAACGCUAGCUACAGGCUUAACACAUGCAAGUCGAGGGGUAACAAGAGGAAAGCUUGCUUUUCUUGUUGACGACCGGCGCACGGGUGAGUAACGCGUAUCCAACCUGCCUAUAACUAGGGAAUAACCUUGCGAAAGUAAGACUAAUACCCUAUGAUUUCCUUUGAUGACAUCAGAUUAGGAAUAAAGAUUUAUCGGUUAUAGAUGGGGAUGCGUCUGAUUAGCUUGUUGGCGGGGUAACGGCCCACCAAGGCAACGAUCAGUAGGGGUUCUGAGAGGAAGGCCCCCCACAUUGGAACUGAGACACGGUCCAAACUCCUACGGGAGGCAGCAGUGAGGAAUAUUGGUCAAUGGGCGGAAGCCUGAACCAGCCAAGUAGCGUGCAGGAUGACGGCCCUAUGGGUUGUAAACUGCUUUUAUACAGGAAUAAAGUUAGCCACGUGUGGUUAUUUGUAGGUACUGUAUGAAUAAGGACCGGCUAAUUCCGUGCCAGCCGCCGCGGUAA
rnacentral:rRNA from 1 species